rnacentral:rRNA from 1 species
AACCUGGUUGAUCCUGCCAGUUGUGAUAUGCUUGUCUCAAAGAUUAAGCCAUGCAUGUGUGAGUAUGGCGGAGUAGACUCCGCGAAACUGCGAAUGGCUCAAUAAAUCAGUGAUAGUUUCCUCGAUGGAUGCUUUGCUAUCGGAUACCCGUAGUAAAUCUAGAGCUAAUACGUAUGCACAAGACGGGCGUGAGUCCGUUGCGAGUAUGAGAAAUGGCCGGCCGCUUUUUGCGUCCCGUGUCGAAUCAUGAUAUUUGGCGAAUCGACCGUCCGGUCGAUGCAUCGACAAGAUUUCUGCCCUAUCAACUGUGGACGGUAGGAUCGAGGCCUACCGUGGUGUCGACGGGUGACGGAGAAUCGGGGUUCGAUUCCGGAGAGGGAGCCCGAGAAACGGCUACCACAUCCAAGGAAGGCAGCAGGCGCGCAAAUUACCCAAUUCCGACUCGGAGAGGUAGUGACAAGACGUGGCAUGAGAGUGAUCAUUUGGUUACUUUCAAUGCGUUGAGUGCAUGUUAGCGAAUUGCACGAUAUUACUGGAGGGCAAGUCUGGUGCCAGCAGCCGCGGUAAUUCCAGCUCCAGGGGCGUAUAUAUGAGUUGUUGCGGUUGAAAAGCUCGUAGUCGAAGGGGGUGGAGGGGUGGAUCAUCGACUAUUCGAUUGCAUCCCCCCCUGCACUUGGUGCAUCUGCACUUGGUACCUCGAGUAAAAGAGAGUGUUCAAAUCAGUUUUUCGACCGAAUCUUCCAGCAUGGAAUACCGCAAUACGACCGGGAUGGUCUUGCUGGCCGGGUCAUUCCCAGUAAUGAUAAAGAGGGACAGUCGGGGGCAUUGGUAUUUCGAUGUCAGAGGUGAAAUUCUUGGAUUUUCGAAAGACGGCCUACUGCGAAAGCAUUUGCCAAGGAUGUUUUCAUUGAUCAAGAACGAAAGUCGGGGGCUCGAAGACGAUCAGAUACCGUCCUAGUCUCGACCAUAAACGAUGCCGACCGGGGAUGGCGUGCGGUGCUUUGGCCCGCUCGCCGCACCCUCUGAGAAAUCUCGAGUGUUCGGGUUCCGGGGGGAGUAUGGUCGCAAGGCUGAAACUCAAAGGAAUUGACGGAAGGGCACCACCAGGCGUGGAGCCUGCGGCUUAAUUUGACUCAACACGGGAAAACUCACCAGGUCCGGACACGACGAGGACUGACAGACGUAUUGACAGCUCUUUCUCGAUUGCGUGGGUGGUGGUGCAUGGCCGUUCUUAGUUCGUGGGUCAGCCUGUCAGAUUAAUUUCGGUAACGAACGAGACCUCCGCGGGGGGUUGCCUCGGAUUGUCCGAGCGCGCAGCGCUCGGCAAGACAUUCUGCGGCUCCACCCGGACCACCGGUGUUUAGCCGGGGGAAGCCGGAGGCCAUAACAGGUCUGUGAUGCCCUUGGAUGUUCUGGGCCGCACGCGCGCUACACUGGGGGGGAGAGCGAGUUGGGAUGCGGUCGCGCAUUUCGAAUCAUGAAUCCCUCCCGUGACGGGGAUAGAUCAUUGCAAUUAUUGAUCUUGAACGAGGAAUGCCUAGUAUGCGCGAGUCAUCAGCUCGCGUCGAUUACGUCCCUGCCCUUUGUACACACCGCCCGUCGCUCCUACCGAUUGGGUGUGCUGGUGAGAAGGGGGGCGCGCUGUUGUAUUUAUACAACAAUGCAAACCUUUUCAAACCCUCCCACCUAGAGGAAGGAGAAGUCGUAACAAGGUUUCCGUAGGUGAACCUGCAGAAGGAUCA